rnacentral:lncRNA from 1 species
UCUCUGAUUAUUAUUCAAUUCAGAUGACUAGUUCAGGAGGGCAUAAAAGUUUAGACAUUAAAUUCCUCUCAAACACUGGAGUUAAGAGCACAACUUAAUUUCAUUCCUCAUACCAACAUCCUUGAUAUAGUUACUUUCAUCAUCACCAACGUGUUACAUUCACCCAAAUGAACACCAACAUUCUUACAGUUCACAAACUAUACUAGACAGAACACAUACUACACAUCAAAAGUAGCAAGGAACGAAACUUAUUGACAACAUAACUACUAAUCAUGUCGGUCCCUUCCCUUUCUUAUCCACUUCCGCACUUUCACUGGCCUUGUGUAUAGUCAUGUUCAAUGAGAUUUCAAUAUUUUUUUCUUCGGCUACCAACAAAAAGAUUGGAACAAGUCAGAGAAGUGUUGAACUUUUUCCGCAGCCGCAUCCAGCACUUGAUUCUCCAUUGUCGAGCAAAUCCCAAUAUUUACAGUUAGCAAUGUUGCAGCAAUUGAAUAAUUUUCCCUUGUUCUUCGUUUCCCUCUCGACCUCAAAGCACUUCACAAAGCCAAUUUUACACCGGGGGCAUCAUCUUUUUUUCACACAAUCCGCAAAGAAAUGACCCUUUUCUCGACAGCUAUGACAUAGCCCAGAGUUCUUUCUUGGCAUUCUGCACACAAACGAACCACACAUUAUGCUACAGUAGACUACAACCACCGAGCACUAUGAAAUCUUCAAACUAUCGAAUUAUUCGAAAACAGUAAAAUCAAGGAAAAUGGAUAACAAAUAUAUGAUGCUUACAUAAUGUUUGCUGCGAUAUUUCAUCGGAGGCGAUGGAUGGAGUCGGAGAUGGUCGAUUUCUACGCGGUGUAGCUUCCGUCUUUCGGCUAAAAAAAAAAAAAAAAAAAAAACCCCAACCGCGAGAUUAACUCGAGUUGGGAAGCCCAAAGAUGGAGAUGAUUGCUAAAUUAACCACUGGCUUCUUAUUCUGGCUGAGAUGGAAUCUGGACUUCGGACCAAUUUUUCGUCAUAAAGGGUUUUCUCUGAUUUGGGGAUAAAUGUGCAAGAGAUAAUAUUUUCAGUUUUGGAAAGCAUCAAAUAACUUGAC